rnacentral:rRNA from 1 species
GAUGAACGCUGGCGGCGUGCCUAACACAUGCAAGUCGAACGUGAUAGCUAGGAAUUGCGCUUCGGUGUGAGGAAUAGCUUGAAAGUGGCGGACGGGUGAGUAACACGUGGGUAACCUGCCUUGGAGUGGGGGAUAACCAUUGGAAACGAUGGCUAAUACCGCAUGGGUCUAUCUUUACGGGAGUAUUGAUGGGUAAAGCCUAGUGCGCUUCAAGAGGGGCCUGCGGCCGAUUAGUUAGUUGGUGAGGUAAAGGCUCACCAAGGCGGAGAUCGGUAGCUGGUCUGAGAGGACGAUCAGCCACACGGGAACUGAGAAACGGUCCCGACUCCUACGGGGGGCAGCAGUGAGGAAUAUUGCACAAUGGGGGGAACCCUGAUGCAGCAACGCCGCGUGGAGGAUGAAGGUUCUUGGAUCGUAAACUCCUUUUUUCGGGGAAGAGCAAGGACGGUACCCGGAGAAUAAGUCACGGCUAACUACGUG